rnacentral:rRNA from 1 species
UGUAAGCGUAUACCAAAGUUGUUGCAGUUAAAACGCUCGUAGUCGGAAUUUGGCAGUUCCGGAUGUGUGCACGUCGUGUGCGCACUUCGCGGGGAUUGCUUUUGUGGUCUUGCGUAGGAUGAGGCACUUUUAUUAGUGAACGUCCUCACGCAACCACUUUUUACUGUGAGAAAAUCAGAGUGCUCAAAGCUGGCAUUUGCCGUGAAUGUAUUAGCAUGGAAUAAUAGAAUAGGACUUGGUUCUAUUUUGUUGGUUUGUUGGGACUGAGUAAUGAUUAAGAGGGACAGUUAGGGGCAUUUGUAUUUCGGUGCUAGAGGUGAAAUUCUUAGAUUACCGAAAGACAAACUGCUGCGAAAGCGUCUGCCAAGGAUGUUUUCAUUGA